ACGACAGAUGGUGUCGUGUGACUCCCGAGACCUAGCCGGACGAAAAUACGGCGACAUGGUCAGAGGAGGCACCUGGAGGACUUCGGUCCGUCAGGUCGCAUGAGGAGUCUCCCAGAAAAGCCCCGCGGUCAUGAUGCUGGGUGCCCGUACCAAAACUGACACAGGAAGGCGAGGAGAGGAUCCUAAGGCGCUCGAGAGAACUCUCGUGAAGGAACACGGCAAAAUUACCCCGUAACUUCGGGAUAAGGGGUGCUCACGGCCUUGACUGACAAAGAAGGGGCCGUGAGCCGCAGAGAAUCGGGAGCUGCAACUGUUUAUCAAAAACACAAGUCUGCGCAAACUCGAAACGAGGACGUAUGCAGACUGACGCGUGCUCGGUGCCGGAAGGUCAAGGCAAGGGGUCAUGCCGCAAGGCAGAAGCUCCGAACCGAAGCCCCGGUUAACGGCGGCCGUAACUAUGACGGUCCUAAGGUAGCGAAAUUCCUUGUCGGGUAAGUUCCGACCCGCACGAAUCGCGGAAUGACAGCUUCAGUGUCUCCACGAGGGACUCGGCGAAAUUGCAGUAGCGGUGCAGAUGCCGCUUACCCGCAGCUAGACGGAAAGACCCCGUGAACCUUUACUGUAGCUUAGUAUUGGAACUUGUCCUGGUCUGCGUAGCAUAGCUGGGAGGCUUCGAUAUUCGGGUUCCGGCCCGAGUGGAGCCAUCAGUGAAAUACCUGCCUGAUCUUGAUAGGUUUCUAACCUCGACCGUUACCCGGUCGUGGGACCGUGCUAGGUGGGCAGUUUUGCUGGGGCGGUAUCCUCCAAAAGAGUAACGGAGGAGUUCAAAGGUUCCCUCAGUGCGGUUGGCAAUCGCACGCAGAGCGCAAAGGUGCAAGGGAGCUUGACUGCGAGGCGUAAGUGCCGAGCAGGUGCGAAAGCAGGACUUAGUGAUCCGGCGUUACCGGAUGGAAGGGACGUCGCCUAUCUGACAAAAGGUACUCCGGGGAUAACAGGCUGAUCUGGUCCAAGAGUCCAUAUCGACGACCAGGUUUGGCACCUCGAUGUCGGCUCAUCGCAUCCUGGGGCUGUAGGAGGUCCCAAGGGUUGGGCUGUUCGCCCAUUAAAGCGGUACGUGAGCUGGGUUCAGACCGUCGUGAGACAGGUCGGUCCCUAUCUACUGUGGGUAUAGGAAGCGUGAGGAGGUCUUCCCUUAGUACGAGAGGAUUUGGGAGGACGGUCCGCUGGUGUUCCGGUUGUCCCGCCAGGGGCAUUGCCGGGUAGCUAUGACCGGUACGGAUAAGCGCUGAAAGCAUCUAAGCGCGAAGCCCGCUCCAAAACGACGCUUCCCUGAGGCACGUUGAAGACUACGACGUUGAUAGGCCGGAGGUGUAAGCACAGCGAUGUGUUCAGCUUACCGGUACUAACCCGCCGACAGGCUUGCCUAC
rnacentral:rRNA from 1 species